rnacentral:rRNA from 1 species
UGAGGAAUAUUGGACAAUGGGCGGGAGCCUGAUCCAGCCAUGCCGCGUGCAGGAAGACCGCCCUAUGGGUCGUAAACUGCUUUUGUACGGGAAGAACCGGGGGCACGUGUGCCCUUCUGACGGUACCGUAAGAAUAAGGAUCGGCUAACUCCGUGCCAGCAGCCGCGGUAAUACGGAGGAUCCGAGCGUUAUCCGGAAUUAUUGGGUUUAAAGGGUCCGUAGGCGGGCCGUUAAGUCAGGGGUGAAAGUCUGCGGCUCAACCGUAGCAAUGCCCUUGAUACUGGCGGCCUCGAGUUAUGGUGAAGUGGCUAGAAUAUGUGGUGUAGCGGUGAAAUGCAUAGAUAUCACAUGGAAUACCGAUUGCGAAGGCAGGCCACUAACCAUAUACUGACGCUGAUGGACGAAAGCGUGGGGAGCGAACA